CGGUAGCCAAGUGGUAAGGCCAAGGUCUGCAAAACCUUUAUUCGUCGGUUCGAUUCCGACCCGCGCCUCCA
rnacentral:tRNA from 1 species